GCUUACACAUGCAAGUUCGAGCGCCCCGCAAGGGGAGCGGCAGACGGGUGAGUAACGCGUGGGAAUCUACCUUUUGCUACGGAAUAACUCAGGGAAACUUGUGCUAAUACCGUAUGUGCCCUUCGGGGGAAAGAUUUAUCGGCAAAGGAUGAGCCCGCGUUGGAUUAGCUAGUUGGUGGGGUAAAGGCCCACCAAGGCGACGAUCCAUAGCUGGUCUGAGAGGAUGAUCAGCCACACUGGGACUGAGACACGGCCCAGACUCCUACGGGAGGCAGCAGUGGGGAAUAUUGGACAAUGGGCGCAAGCCUGAUCCAGCCAUGCCGCGUGAGUGAUGAAGGCCCUAGGGUUGUAAAGCUCUUUCACCGGUGAAGAUAAUGACGGUAACCGGAGAAGAAGCCCCGGCUAACUUCGUGCCAGCAGCCGCGGUAAUACGAAGGGGGCUAGCGUUGUUCGGAUUUACUGGGCGUAAAGCGCACGUAGGCGGACUUUUAAGUCAGGGGUGAAAUCCCAGAGCUCAACUCUGGAACUGCCUUUGAUACUGGAAGUCUUGAGUAUGGUAGAGGUGAGUGGAAUUCCGAGUGUAGAGGUGAAAUUCGUAGAUAUUCGGAGGAACACCAGUGGCGAAGGCGGCUCACUGGACCAUUACUGACGCUGAGGUGCGAAAAGCGUGGGGGAGCAAACAGGAUUAGAUACCCCUGGGUAGUCCCCCCCCGUAAACCAAUGAAUGUUUAGCCCGUCCGGGGUGUUUAC
rnacentral:rRNA from 1 species